GUGAGCCCGGCCCGGCCUGACGCUGCGGCCGCCCGCAGCACCUGGGGUGACUGCUCAUAGCCAAACGCCAUGCGGCCCCAGCACAAAAACAACGUUCAGGAAAGCUGCUUGCCUGGCACGGGUACUGCAGAUGCCCGGCAUCUUCUCAUCAUAUUCUUUGCACGCAUCUUCAGGAAGCAAUUCUGUCCUCACUCCAUUCUAACUCAGAGGAACUUUUUGUCCUCCCCUCAUUUUUCUCUACACAUUCUUUUUGUAAGCCUCAUUUACUGCACCCAUCCUUUCCUCCCAAUGCCUUUGCCCGUGUCUCAGUCAUCCCAUUCACCUCUAGAAAUAAAUGUCCUUUCUCAGUUUAUGUUUCUAGCACUGUUCUAAGGCUGCCCACUCUCCCUCUCGAGGGUUUCCUCGAGGGCUGAGCAGCUGAGCACAGCCCCAGCGCUCUGCAUCUGUCCACAUAUCAAUCUUCACCAGAGGUACCAGCGAUGUCGCCACAGGCACUCAGGCUGGCACAGCUUCAGGGCCCGACCUCAGAUGUCAUUAUGCCCAUCACACUGCAGAGCAAUGUCGCUGGGUGGUUUUAGAAGCCUCCAGCCUCCAUUUUGUUUGACGUCCCAAGCGAGCGGUAAUGCUGCACCAACCAGACAAGAGCAGACAAGCAGGAACACGUCCUUAGAAUUUCCAACCUUAGGACAAUCAGGACCUGUUGCACUCGGUGCCCAGAAUGGAUGAAAUUCCCAAGGUCCAUACAGCAAACCUGAAAGCUAUCUUAGGUAGUUCCACUCAAAUUGUGCAUCUGUUGCUCUUGGACCACGUUCACCAAUUCAGAAGAGCACGACUGGUGUAAUGAAUCCUGAGCGCAGCUCCCUCUCACAGCUAUGCUAGUGUUAGCACCUACUGAAAAGAGCAGUCUCACUUUGCCUCCCCUCAGGUGUGCCUUCCUGUCUCCUUUGUACAGCACUCUGAUUUUGGAGGGUGGACUUUCUGCAAGUUAGCUUUCUGGGUCACUGCUGGCAAGAGCCAGGGCUGGCAUCAGGAAAGCUGAAGGAACUCCCAGCCUGGAAGAAGAAGGAGGACAAGCACAGACAUGCACUGCCAGCCUCCUCCAUACUGGAGGGCACAAGUUACCCACUGCACUUGCUUGAAGAAAAAAACCCCACUCUGAAGGAAAAAAAAUGAGGCCAUGGUGCAGAGAGGAGAAGAAAGCCAGGCUGCAACAACUGACACAGGGCUCAGAAAGAUUUUUGCCUCGGCGAGACAUUCUGCAAACAUGCUAAGGCUACAAAAUGCCCAAGUUGACAAAGACAUGCAACGCUGACCAUUCCAUAAGUCACGGCUAUUAUAGGAGCCACCGUGCCCAGCGGGCCGCAGGUCCCGUCGGACAGGGAUGGCGUACAGUGAUCAUGGCAACGCACUACACAGGACCUAGUAACCUGAGGUAGGUCUCUUCACAGUAAGAAAACAACAUCCUACACCAGUGUUACAUCCUGAUCAGCAGGAACCCGUCGGAAGUUCCCGGAGACGUGGAGUGGGGGACUGUUUCCUUAACAAGUGUGCAAUAAAGAAACAGGAAACAUUGAUGUUGUUUGACCUUAGUAUACGUGAGCAGAACAAAGAGUUAGUGUUACUCAUGCCAGUGAAAGCCAACCUAAACCUCUGAGGGGUGUUAGCAGCUUCAAGAUAAAGGAGUCAGUCAG